rnacentral:misc_RNA from 1 species
AAGUCGUAACAAGGUUUCCGUAGGUGAACCUGCGGAAGGAUCAUUACAACGUAUCCACGUAUAAACCUUUGUGAACAUGUUUAACCGCGUAGUUGUGACGUCGCAAAGUUGUAUGCAAUUCGGAAAUAAAGCAUACAACCCGCUUCUUUCUUGCAAAGAAGGGACAUCAUGACUGUGUUUUUCCGUUACCAUAUUAACCACUGUAACUUCCUAUGUACUAACGAAUUAAAGGCGAAAGCUUUUUCUUCGAUAAAUAUAAGAAAUUAUAGCACAACUCUUAGCAACGGAUAUCUAGGCUCUC